rnacentral:rRNA from 1 species
AGAGUUUGAUCCUGGCUCAGAAUCAACGCUGGCGGCGUGCCUAACACAUGCAAGUCGCACGAGAAAGGGGAGCAAUCCCUGAGUAAAGUGGCGCACGGGUGAGUAACACGUGACUAACCUACCUCCGAGUGGGGAAUAACUGAGAGAAAUCUUAGCUAAUACCGCAUAACACUUACGAGUCAAAGCAGCAAUGCGCUUGGAGAGGGGGUCGCGGCAGAUUAGUUAGUUGGCGGGGUAAUGGCCCACCAAGACGAUGAUCUGUAUCCGGCCUGAGAGGGCGCACGGACACACUGGAACUGAAACACGGUCCAGACUCCUACGAGAGGCAGCAGUGGGGAAUUUUGCGCAAUGGGGGAAACCCUGACGCAGCAACGCCGCGUGGAGGAUGAAAUAUCUUGGUAUGUAAACUCCUUUCGAUGGGGAAGAUUAUGACGGUACCCAUAGAAGAAGCCCCGGCUAACUUCGUGCCAGCAGCCGCGGUAAUACGAGGGGGGCAAGCGUUGUUCGGAUUUAUUGGGCGUAAAGGGUGCGUAGGCGGUUUGGCAAGUCUGAUGUGAAAUCUAUGGGCUCAACCCAUAGUCUGCAUCAGAAACUGCCGGGCUUGAGUAUGGGAGAGGUGAGUGGAAUUUCCGGUGUAGCGGUGAAAUGCGUAGAUAUCGGAAGGAACACCUGUGGCGAAAGCGGCUCACUGGACCAUAACUGACGCUGAUGCACGAAAGCUAGGGGAGCAAACAGGAUUAGAUACCCUAGUAGUCC